AGUUUUGCGCAGUGGUGAUAGCCAAUGAGGUUUAUCCGAGGUGCGAUUAUUGCUAGUUGAAAACUAGACAAAAAUUCGAGACGUUGAUUUCUUAGAACAUAAGUAAAAAAGUUACAUUGAUGAAAAAGCAAGCG